rnacentral:misc_RNA from 1 species
UUAACUUAUUAUAUAAUUCUCGGACAACACUAAACACAGGGUAAAUGAGUCUCUGGCGGGAUGUCCCGGCGACGCCGGGGACCCCGCCAAAGCAACAAAGGUAAAUAACACAGGGUGGGAGGUCUACCCCGAAGGGCACGAUCUCUGUAAUGAUCCUUCCGCUGGUUCACCAACGGAAA